rnacentral:rRNA from 1 species
GACGAACGCUGGCGGCGUGCUUAACACAUGCAAGUCGAACGAAGUGGCGCACGGGUGAGUAACGCGUAAUCAACCUGCCCUUCAGAGGGGGACAACAGUUGGAAACGACUGCUAAUACCGCAUACUGAAGGAGGGGAUUGCGUCUGAUUAGCUGGUUGGAGGGGUAACGGCCCACCAAGGCGAUGAUCAGUAGCCGGUCUGAUAGGAUUAACGGCCACAUUGGGACUGAGACACGGCCCAGACUACUACGGGAGGCAGCAGUGGGGAAUCUUCCGCAAUGGACGAAAGUCUGACGGAGCAACGCCGCGUGAGUGAUGACGGCCUUCGGGUUGUAAAGCUCUGUUGUUAGAGAAGCGGUAUCUAACCAGAAAGCCACGGCUAACUACGUGCCAGCAGCCGCGGUAAUUC